CCUACGGGCGGCAGCAGUGAGGAAUAUUGGUCAAUGGACGAGAGUCUGAACCAGCCAAGCAGCGUGAAGGAUGACUGCCCUCUGGGUUGUAAACUCUUUCUAUAUGGGAAUAAUAUGUUCCAUGCGUGGGACUUUGUAUGUACCACAUGAAUAAGGAUCCGCUAAAUCCGUGCCAGCAGCCGCGGUAAUACGGAGGACCCGAGCGUUAUCCGGAUUUAUUGGGUUUAAAGGGAGCGUAGGUGGAUUGUUAAGUCAGUUGUGAAAGUUUGCGGCUCAACCGUAAAAUUGCAGUUGAAACUGGCAGUCUUGAGUACAGUAGAGGUGGGCGGAAUUCGUGGUGUAGCGGUGAAAUGCUUAGAUAUCACGAAGAACUCCGAUUGCGAAGGCAGCUCACUGGACUGCAACUGACACUGAGGCUCGAAAGUGUGGGUAUCAAACAGGAUUAGAUACCCCAGUAGUC
rnacentral:rRNA from 1 species